UGGGGAAUUUUGGACAAUGGGCGAAAGCCUGAUCCAGCAAUGCCGCGUGUGUGAAGAAGGCCUUCGGGUUGUAAAGCACUUUUGUCCGGAAAGAAAUCCUUGGCUCUAAUACAGUCGGGGGAUGACGGUACCGGAAGAAUAAGCACCGGCUAACUACGUGCCAGCAGCCGCGGUAAUACGUAGGGUGCAAGCGUUAAUCGGAAUUACUGGGCGUAAAAGCGUGCGCAGGCGGUUUGCUAAGACCGAUGUGAAAAUCCCCGGGCUCAAACCUGGGAACUGCAUUGGUGACUGGCAGGCUAGAGUAUGGCAGAGGGGGGUAGAAAUUCCACGUGUAGCAGUGAAAAUGCGUAGAGAUGUGGAGGAAUACCGAUGGCGAAAGGCAGCCCCCUGGGCCAAAUACUGACGCUCAUGCACGAAAAGCGUGGGGAGCAAAACAGGAUUAGAUACCCUGGUAGUCCACGCCCUAAAACGAUGUCAAC
rnacentral:rRNA from 1 species